rnacentral:rRNA from 1 species
GACGAACGCUGGCGGCGUGCCUAAUACAUGCAAGUAGAACGCUGAAGGCGGAGCUUGCUCUUCUGGAUGAGUUGCGAACGGGUGAGUAACGCGUAGGUAACCUGCCUGGUAGCGGGGGAUAACUCUUGGAAACGAUAGCUAAUACCGCAUAACAGUAGAUGUUGCAUGACAUUUACUUAAAAGGUGCAAUUGCAUCACUACCAGAUGGACCUGCGUUGUAUUAGCUAGUUGGUGGUGUAACGGCUCACCAAGGCGACGAUACAUAGCCGACCUGGGACGGGGAUGGGCCGCACUGGGAGUGAGACACGGUCCAGACCCGUACGGGAGGCAGCAGUAGGGAAUCUGCGGCAAUGGACGGAAGUCUGACCAGGCAACGCCGCAUGAGUGAAGAAGGUUGUCGGAUCGUAAAGCUCUGUUGUAAGAGAAGAACGGGUGUGAGAGUGGAAAGUUCACACUGUGACGGUAUCUUACCAGAAAGGGACGGCUAGCUACGUG